rnacentral:sRNA from 1 species
UUAUUUGCCUAUCUUGCUGUCCAAUU